rnacentral:lncRNA from 1 species
AGUUGGCCCUACUGGCCAAGCACAGGAGUGGGGACUGUAAUAAGUUAUUUGUUAAUUAGGAAAGCAAUUAGAGACUCUUGAUAAAUUAGAAUAAGUGAUAGGGCUAAAGAUGUGUUUUUUUUAUAAGCUGGACUCCUUUAAUUCAGAGUGGAAAGGUCAGUUAACUAAUGAUCAUUCUUUGGACAGUCCUGGUUAAGGAAGGGUGUCCAAGGAGCUUGCUCUGAGAAAUUUGUAAGAUUUAGAGAGAAGACAAUUUGAAACAUCUUGAAACAGUUGCUGUGUAGUACCUGGAAUUUCCACCAGGGGGCAGUAUAGAGCAAAAGGCUGGAGUGAAUGUGUGAAGAUCUGACAGGCUGAAGAGGAGCAGGUUGUGGAUUUCUGAUCUAAGGAGAUUAAUAAUUAGCUUAAGAUGAAGUGGCCUCCAGCAAACUAAUGAUACUGCAGAAAACCAAAACAGGCAGAACUAUAUAGAAUAAAGAGGAAAAAAAUCAGAUGGAUUGUGUAACAAACAAAAGGAACCAAAUGUGUUCUCUUUUAAAAGCAGAAGAGCAACUCUUUUCUUCCAAGGCCUCCCUAGCUCCACAUUGUGAGCAGAGUGCAACUAUGAACAAAUAUUCUCUCCACCAAAGAGAAGAUUCAUAUGCAAAUAUAUAGGCUUUAGCCCUGGGUAACACAUAAAGUUAAGCAGAGCUUUAUUAAACACCCACCUAGUUAACAAUUAAGCAAUUUCCCUUCAAUUCUAAAAAGCAGAUCUGUUCAUGAACUUGACAGAUUUCCUGGGAGGUUGUGAAAAGAUGACAGAUUAAUAUGUGGAAUUAUUCCAGUUUCCCUCUGCAUAGCUUUUACUAUAAAAAAGAGAUUUCAAUGCUUGCUAUUCAAAGGCAGCUACAAAAUAAUCCUGCCUAGAGUAUUUUUAUUCCUAAGAUGUUCAUCUACACUUUCACUUCUUCCUGGCCUUUUAAAAAUAUGCAAAGAAAUCAAAUGAAAAAAAAUUCUAUUGACUAUCUCUUCCUAUUUCAAAUUACUGAUUAGCUCAAGGCAUAGCUUUUGGACUGCCAUCUGGCCCUGGGACAAGAUUUUGUUAAGAAAUGAAGCUUUAGAGGACAGCUAUACAAGCCUCAUUGGACCUACUCACCAAGCACUUAACUUCUUGGUUAUACAUUUUAUUCACAGAUAGCUAGUGUAUAAUCAUUUCCAUAAUCAUUUUAAAUCAUGCCUCAGUUAACAACUUUUGCCAGGCUUAUUACCUUUCUUCAGCAUUAAUUUCCCAUAAUACAAAAAAAUUUCAAAUUUAAUAUCUGAGAAAUAAAAAGACUGAAAUUUUAACA